rnacentral:rRNA from 1 species
AGCGUACACGGUGGAUGCCCUGGCAGUCAGAGGCGAUGAAGGACGUGCUAAUCUGCGAUAAGCGUCGGUAAGGUGAUAUGAACCGUUAUAACCGGCGAUUUCCGAAUGGGGAAACCCAGUGUGAUUCGUCACACUAUCAUUAACUGAAUCCAUAGGUUAAUGAGGCGAACCGGGGGAACUGAAACAUCUAAGUACCCCGAGGAAAAGAAAUCAACCGAGAUUCCCCCAGUAGCGGCGAGCGAACGGGGAGCAGCCCAGAGCCUGAAUCAGUGUGUGUGUUAGUGGAAGCGUCUGGAAAGGCGCGCGAUACAGGGUGACAGCCCCGUACACAAAAAUGCACAUGCUGUGAGCUCGAUGAGUAGGGCGGGACACGUGGUAUCCUGUCUGAAUAUGGGGGGACCAUCCUCCAAGGCUAAAUACUCCUGACUGACCGAUAGUGAACCAGUACCGUGAGGGAAAGGCGAAAAGAACCCCGGCGAGGGGAGUGAAAAAGAACCUGAAACCGUGUACGUACAAGCAGUGGGAGCACGCUUAGGCGUGUGACUGCGUACCUUUUGUAUAAUGGGUCAGCGACUUAUAUUCUGUAGCAAGGUUAACCGAAUAGGGGAGCCGAAGGGAAACCGAGUCUUAACUGGGCGUUAAGUUGCAGGGUAUAGACCCGAAACCCGGUGAUCUAGCCAUGGGCAGGUUGAAGGUUGGGUAACACUAACUGGAGGACCGAACCGACUAAUGUUGAAAAAUUAGCGGAUGACUUGUGGCUGGGGGUGAAAGGCCAAUCAAACCGGGAGAUAGCUGGUUCUCCCCGAAAGCUAUUUAGGUAGCGCCUCGUGAAUUCAUCUCCGGGGGUAGAGCACUGUUUCGGCAAGGGGGUCAUCCCGACUUACCAACCCGAUGCAAACUGCGAAUACCGGAGAAUGUUAUCACGGGAGACACACGGCGGGUGCUAACGUCCGUCGUGAAGAGGGAAACAACCCAGACCGCCAGCUAAGGUCCCAAAGUCAUGGUUAAGUGGGAAACGAUGUGGGAAGGCCCAGACAGCCAGGAUGUUGGCUUAGAAGCAGCCAUCAUUUAAAGAAAGCGUAAUAGCUCACUGGUCGAGUCGGCCUGCGCGGAAGAUGUAACGGGGCUAAACCAUGCACCGAAGCUGCGGCAGCGACGCUUAUGCGUUGUUGGGUAGGGGAGCGUUCUGUAAGCCUGUGAAGGUGUGCUGUGAGGCAUGCUGGAGGUAUCAGAAGUGCGAAUGCUGACAUAAGUAACGAUAAAGCGGGUGAAAAGCCCGCUCGCCGGAAGACCAAGGGUUCCUGUCCAACGUUAAUCGGGGCAGGGUGAGUCGACCCCUAAGGCGAGGCCGAAAGGCGUAGUCGAUGGGAAACAGGUUAAUAUUCCUGUACUUGGUGUUACUGCGAAGGGGGGACGGAGAAGGCUAUGUUGGCCGGGCGACGGUUGUCCCGGUUUAAGCGUGUAGGCUGGUUUUCCAGGCAAAUCCGGAAAAUCAAGGCUGAGGCGUGAUGACGAGGCACUACGGUGCUGAAGCAACAAAUGCCCUGCUUCCAGGAAAAGCCUCUAAGCAUCAGGUAACAUCAAAUCGUACCCCAAACCGACACAGGUGGUCAGGUAGAGAAUACCAAGGCGCUUGAGAGAACUCGGGUGAAGGAACUAGGCAAAAUGGUGCCGUAACUUCGGGAGAAGGCACGCUGAUAUGUAGGUGAAGUCCCUCGCGGAUGGAGCUGAAAUCAGUCGAAGAUACCAGCUGGCUGCAACUGUUUAUUAAAAACACAGCACUGUGCAAACACGAAAGUGGACGUAUACGGUGUGACGCCUGCCCGGUGCCGGAAGGUUAAUUGAUGGGGUUAGCGCAAGCGAAGCUCUUGAUCGAAGCCCCGGUAAACGGCGGCCGUAACUAUAACGGUCCUAAGGUAGCGAAAUUCCUUGUCGGGUAAGUUCCGACCUGCACGAAUGGCGUAAUGAUGGCCAGGCUGUCUCCACCCGAGACUCAGUGAAAUUGAACUCGCUGUGAAGAUGCAGUGUACCCGCGGCAAGACGGAAAGACCCCGUGAACCUUUACUAUAGCUUGACACUGAACAUUGAGCCUUGAUGUGUAGGAUAGGUGGGAGGCUUUGAAGUGUGGACGCCAGUCUGCAUGGAGCCGACCUUGAAAUACCACCCUUUAAUGUUUGAUGUUCUAACGUUGACCCGUAAUCCGGGUUGCGGACAGUGUCUGGUGGGUAGUUUGACUGGGGCGGUCUCCUCCUAAAGAGUAACGGAGGAGCACGAAGGUUGGCUAAUCCUGGUCGGACAUCAGGAGGUUAGUGCAAUGGCAUAAGCCAGCUUGACUGCGAGCGUGACGGCGCGAGCAGGUGCGAAAGCAGGUCAUAGUGAUCCGGUGGUUCUGAAUGGAAGGGCCAUCGCUCAACGGAUAAAAGGUACUCCGGGGAUAACAGGCUGAUACCGCCCAAGAGUUCAUAUCGACGGCGGUGUUUGGCACCUCGAUGUCGGCUCAUCACAUCCUGGGGCUGAAGUAGGUCCCAAGGGUAUGGCUGUUCGCCAUUUAAAGUGGUACGCGAGCUGGGUUUAGAACGUCGUGAGACAGUUCGGUCCCUAUCUGCCGUGGGCGCUGGAGAAUUGAGGGGGGCUGCUCCUAGUACGAGAGGACCGGAGUGGACGCAUCACUGGUGUUCGGGUUGUCAUGCCAAUGGCACUGCCCGGUAGCUAAAUGCGGAAGAGAUAAGUGCUGAAAGCAUCUAAGCACGAAACUUGCCCCGAGAUGAGUUCUCCCUGACUCCUUGA